rnacentral:lncRNA from 1 species
GCAUAUCAUUUAGAAAUCAUGUCUCUAGGACUUUGCAUUGCAAGCACCAUAAAAAUCAUCUCUAUAGGAAGUGAAUAAACGUUAGGCAAGCUGUAGGGCAAUCAAAUAUUUACCCUUUCUAACAGUUUAACGACAGUAACGAGUCUUAAAAAUGAAGAUGUAGAUAUCAUUCCUAUAGGAAUUCAAACUCGCCUAAUAUGAGGAUAAUCUGUCAAACGCUUUCAGCAAAAGUUUUCUCUAAACCUGUCUGCUUUUGAAACGUGUCCAAUUCUAUCUCUUUUUUUAACAUUUCUAUAGUUCUAUAUUGUCCUUAAAAUUCAAAAUUUACAUCUCUAUUAUGUGACUAACCCCUCAAUUUCUGCCUAAAUCUUUACUUCAAUGCUUUUUGAAAACGCCUCUUUACAACUUUACUUUUACUUAAGCAGUUCGGCUAAUUUGUAACCGUAUCCCUGACCAAUAUCCGUGGAUGAAAAACACUUGCUUAGAACCUCGUAUGUAGCUCGUGAACAGCACACCCGGUAAGUUCCCAGGAAAGAGAGGUGGGUCGCGACCACUUAAUUACCAAGUCUUUCCUAGCCAGAGCUUACCUAGACAUGUACCUCCACAC